CCCCCAGUCUCUUUCUCUCCAUCCCUCAUUCUUCAUGUUUUGGAUACUGGCGACCAUCCCAGCACACCAUGGUUCUAGCUCCCCUCUCCUGACUCCAAGCCAACGUUGGAGAGGGGAUAAGGGUGUAUGUAGUUUGUGUGUGUGUAUGUGUGUGUGUUUGUCUAUAUGUGUGUGUGUGUGUGUGUGUGCCUUUGUGUACAUGAUUGCCAGUGUGUGUGCUUGUACGCAUCUGUGUGUCAGUGUGUUUGGCCACUAGUCUCCGGGAGACAGAAUAGUCCAGAGAUCCCAGUACACUAGUCUCCAGGGAGACAGAAUAGUCCAGAGAUCCCAGUACACUAGUCUCCGGGGAGACAGAAAAUUCCAGAGAUCCCAGUACACUAGUCUCCGGGGAGACAGAAUAGUCCAGAGAUCCCAGUACACUAGUCUCCGGGAGACAGAAUAGUCCAGAGAUCCCAGUACACUAGUCUCCGGGAGACAGAAUAGUCCAGAGAUCCCAGUACACUAGUCUCCGGGAGACAGAAUAGUCCAGAGAUCCCAGUACACUAGUCUCCAGGGAGACAGAAUACUCCAGAGAUCCCAGUACACUAGUCUCCGGGGAGACAGAAUAGUCCAGAGAUCCCAGUACACUAGUCUCCAGGGAGACAGAAUAGUCCAGUACAUUCCACUGGCUCUAGCAGCAUUCUGAGGUCACAUUAAUCCUUUAGGGAACAUGCUUAAUUCAGAACAUAAAGGAUACCUCCCAAAUGGCACCCUAUUCCCUACAUCGUGCACUACUGUUGACUAGGGUCCAUGAGGCUCUGGUCUAAAGUAGUGCACUAUGUAGGGAAUACGGUGCCAUUUGGUAGGCUGUUUUCCCUGUGGAAUCCCAAGUUCUUCCAUUGUCACAAUCAGCCACUGCUGAUAGGCUUAUCCCAUUCCCAUUGUCACAAUCAGCCACUGCUGAUAGGCUUAUCCCAUUCCCAUUGGAAUAGAAGGAUUCCUGAAGUCAUAAAUAGCUGAAUUAUACUGCAUCCUUUUACUGUUCCAUUAUUCCUCGUUUCCCAUUAUCUGGUGUUCCAUGAUCAAGGAUCGUACCUCCCCCUGAGGGAGGUUUCUCUGGUUCCCAUUCUCUGGUGUUCCAUGAUCAAGGAUCAUCAGGAGAGGAUUCUCUGGUUCCCAAUCUCUGGUGUCCCAUGAUCAAGGAUCAUCAGGAGAGGAUUCUCUGGUUCCCAAUCUCUGGUGUUCCAUGAUCAAGGAUCGUAUCUCCCCUGAGGGAGGUUUCUCUGGUUCCCAUUCUCUGGAGUUCCAUGAUCAAGGAUCGUACCUCCCCUGAUGGAGGUUUCUCUGGUUCCCAUUCUCUGGUGUUCCAUGAUCAAGGAUCAGUCCUCCCUUGAGGGAGGUUUCUCUGGUUCCCAUUUGAAUGAGGAAGAUCUAAUCUAGUCUCCACUACAUUGACUUUUCCUUCAAGGUAUAUGUUGCGCGAUACAAUCAGUAACAUGUAAUAACACGGUCAUAACAGCUGACAUAACUAGUCAUAACCUGUCAUAAUAUAGUUAUAACACUGUCAUGACCCAUAUAUUUACACCUGUUGUGACAUAUAGUGUGUUAUUUUAUGGCUGGUUAUGACACCUACAUAAGAGUGUCACAACCCACAUUUAUUCAAAUGAGUUUGUUCACAGCCAAGAAGUUUCCUUUUGUUGUUGUUGUUGUUGUUGUUGACAUUCAUCCCAGUCCUCAGUCUAAUAGAGGGUGUCUUGUCCUGCUCCUGAAAUCUGCUCCUACAUUCAUCCCAGUCCUCAGUCUAAUAGAGGGUGUCUUGUCCUGCUCCUGAAAUCUGCUCCUACAUUCAUCUCAGUCAUCAGAAACAGGGCAUUGAGGCAGGUGCAUGUCUGACAUCAAUGUGUGCACAAUAACAAUGAUAAUUUAAUAUGGACAAUUAAAAAAAGUAAUAUUAACAUAAACAUAUUGUUGACAAGGAGGCUGUGAUGUAAUGGAAUGUUUUUCCUUGUGUGGUGUGUUAUGACCAUAUUAUGACAGGUUAUGACAAGGUAAUGUCAGCUGUUAUGACCAUAUUAUGACAG
ensembl:lncRNA